CAGCAGGUUCUCAUGGCGGGGCAGCGAUCCGUCGGUGGGCGGCGUCCUCCGUCUGGGGUGCCUGCAGACAAGCCGGUGGCCGGGUUUUCCGGCGCCGGCCCUCCGACGCUCAAGUCAGAAGGGGGGCCAAGUGUGUAAGGAGGAGAAGAACAGUGUUUGUAGGGUGCGUAAUUUUUCCAAAAAAUCUCCCCACCUGAGGGGCCAAGGUUCCCUUUUAUAGGUGGGGGUCGGUUUACCUGUGAUGUAACGGGGCGAGGCCGUAGUACGGCUCGGCAUGUUGUUCAGGUCGGCGCACGAUCAGGUGAAUCAUUGCGUUGAUGUCGGCGGUGAGGUCGUCGUACGACCUGGGCUUGCAUGCUACCAGACGAAUUAUUGCAUUGGUGUCGGAGGUAUGGCCGAGAUCAGAGACUUAUCAUGGUUGACUAGACUCUGCUGGGCUAACUUGCCGUGGAGA
rnacentral:lncRNA from 1 species